rnacentral:rRNA from 1 species
CAGGCUUAACACAUGCAAGUCGAGGGGCAUCAGGAAGAAAGCUUGCUUUCUUUGCUGGCGACCGGCGCACGGGUGAGUAACACGUAUCCAACCUGCCCUUUACUCGGGGAUAGCCUUUCGAAAGAAAGAUUAAUACCCGAUAGCAUAAUGAUUCCGCAUGGUUUCAUUAUUAAAGGAUUCCGGUAAAGGAUGGGGAUGCGUUCCAUUAGGUUGUUGGUGAGGUAACGGCCCACCAAGCCUUCGAUGGAUAGGGGUUCUGAGAGGAAGGUCCCCCACAUUGGAACUGAGACACGGUCCAAACUCCUACGGGAGGCAGCAGUGAGGAAUAUUGGUCAAUGGGCGCUAGCCUGAACCAGCCAAGUAGCGUGAAGGAUGAAGGCUCUAUGGGUCGUAAACUUCUUUUAUAUAAGAAUAAAGUGCAGUAUGUAUACUGUUUUGUAUGUAUUAUAUGAAUAAGGAUCGGCUAACUCCGUGCCAGCAGCCGCGGUAAUACGGAGGAUCCGAGCGUUAUCCGGAUUUAUUGGGUUUAAAGGGAGCGUAGGUGGACUGGUAAGUCAGUUGUGAAAGUUUGCGGCUCAACCGUAAAAUUGCAGUUGAUACUGUCAGUCUUGAGUACAGUAGAGGUGGGCGGAAUUCGUGGUGUAGCGGUGAAAUGCUUAGAUAUCACGAAGAACUCCGAUUGCGAAGGCAACUCACUGGACUGCAACUGACACUGAUGCUCGAAAGUGUGGGUAUCAAACAGGAUUAGAUACCCUGGUAGUCCACACAGUAAACGAUGAAUACUCGCUGUUUGCGAUAUACAGUAAGCGGCCAAGCGAAAGCAUUAAGUAUUCCACCUGGGGAGUACGCCGGCAACGGUGAAACUCAAAGGAAUUGACGGGGGCCCGCACAAGCGGAGGAACAUGUGGUUUAAUUCGAUGAUACGCGAGGAACCUUACCCGGGCUUAAAUUGCAGUGGAAUGAUGUGGAAACAUGUCAGUGAGCAAUCACCGCUGUGAAGGUGCUGCAUGGUUGUCGUCAGCUCGUGCCGUGAGGUGUCGGCUUAAGUGCCAUAACGAGCGCAACCCUUAUCUUCAGUUACUAACAGGUCAUGCUGAGGACUCUGGAGAGACUGCCGUCGUAAGAUGUGAGGAAGGUGGGGAUGACGUCAAAUCAGCACGGCCCUUACGUCCGGGGCUACACACGUGUUACAAUGGGGGGUACAGAAGGCAGCUAGCGGGUGACCGUAUGCUAAUCCCAAAAGCCUCUCUCAGUUCGGAUCGAAGUCUGCAACCCGACUUCGUGAAGCUGGAUUCGCUAGUAAUCGCGCAUCAGCCACGGCGCGGUGAAUACGUUCCCGGGCCUUGUACACACCGCCCGUCAAGCCAUGGGAGCCGGGGGUACCUGAAGUACGUAACCGCAAGGAUCGUCCUAGGGUAAAACUGGUGACUGGGGC